GCCGGGAUAGCUCAGCUGGGAGAGCAACAGACUGAAGCCUAUCGGUUUUCUGGAGGUCCCGUGUUCAAUCCACGGUCCUGGCA
rnacentral:tRNA from 1 species